GUCAGUGUGGUGUAGUGGUUUGAGUGUUGAACUAUGACUCUGGAGACCAGGGUUCGAUUCCCAGCUCGACC
rnacentral:tRNA from 1 species